rnacentral:tRNA from 1 species
GACUGGGUGGCUCAGUCAGUUGAGCAUCUGACUUUGGCUCAGAUCAUGAUCUUGCUUUCGUGGGUUCGAGCCCCACAUUGGGCU